AGUGGGGAAUCUUGGACAAUGGGCGCAAGCCUGAUCCAGCCAUGCCGCGUGAGUGAAGAAGGCCUUAGGGUUGUAAAGCUCUUUUACCAGGGACGAUAAUGACGGUACCUGGAGAAUAAGCCCCGGCAAACUUCGUGCCAGCAGCCGCGGUAAUACGAAGGGGGCUAGCGUUGUUCGGAAUUACUGGGCGUAAAGCGCACGUAGGCGGGUCGUUAAGUCAGGGGUGAAAUCCCGGAGCUCAACUCCGGAACUGCCUUUGAUACUGGCGAUCUAGAGAUCGAGAGAGGUGAGUGGAAUUCCGAGUGUAGAGGUGAAAUUCGUAGAUAUUCGGAAGAACACCAGUGGCGAAGGCGGCUCACUGGCUCGAUACUGACGCUGAGGUGCGAAAGCGUGGGGAGCAAA
rnacentral:rRNA from 1 species